ACAGAGGGUGCUAGCGUUAAUCGGAUUUACUGGGCGUAAAGCGUGCGUAGGCGGUUUGAUAAGUCGAUUGUGAAAGCCCCGGGCUCAACCUGGGAAUUGCAGUCGAUACUGUCAGACUAGAAAACGGUAGAGGGAGGCGGAACUCCAGGUGUAGCGGUGAAAUGCGUAGAUAUCUGGAAGAACACCGAUGGCGAAGGCAACCUCCUGGGCCUGUUUUGACGCUGAGGCACGAAAGCGUGGGUAGCAAACAGG
rnacentral:rRNA from 1 species